CACGCUGUAAACGAUGAGAACUAGAUGCUUGUUGACUAAGGUUAAUGAGUAUUGAAGCAAACGCGUUAAGUUCUCCGCCUGGGGAGUACGGCCGCAAGGUUAAAACUCAAAGGAAUUGACGGGGGCCCGCACAAGCGGUGGAGCAUGUGGUUUAAUUCGAUGCAACGCGAAAAACCUUACCUACCCUUGACAUGCCAGGAAUCCUAAAGAGAUUUGGGAGUGCCCGCGAGGGAGCCUGGACACAGGUGC
rnacentral:rRNA from 1 species